AAAUCAUUUUUCAACAAACAUUUUCUAGAGGAUUCUUUCUUAGAGAAAUAUAUGAAAUAUAGAUAUAUAACGUAACUAGAUUUUUACCCGCGGUAUACCGUGAAAACAAUUUAUUUUUUUAAAUUAAUAUAUAUAUAAAAGUUUGUAAAUUGUAUCUAUUUAUAAAAUGUUUUUAUUGUAUAGUUUACAAUUUUUAUUAAGUAACGUCCUGCCAAACCCGUCUCGCCAACCCGUCCUCUAAAAAAAACUCAUUUAUUUUAUUAAUGUUGAUCUUAUUUAUGAUAUGUUUAUGAAUUAUUGUCUAAAUAUUUUGUAAUUUUAUAGUAAUUAAAUGCUAUCAAAUAUCUAUACGGUUUGAUGAUUAUAAUCAUGGAGAAAAAAUAUCAAAAAUGAUAAUUUUGUAGUAAUUAAAUGAUAUUAAAUAUUUUAGAAGUUUUAUUUUAGUAAUUAAUCGUGUAGUUAAGGUAGAGAGAUUUUGGGAAGAUUGUUAAAUGUCAAAUAUUUAAUUAGAAGAUUUUCUUUCUAAUUAUCAAAAACAAUUAUUAAAUGCCAGUGACAGCCGCUGUAAAUAAAUCCCAACUUUAAAAUUUAUUUCAUAAAGUGGCUGCAAAAAUGUAUAUAUAAAUAGUUAAUACCAUUC
rnacentral:sRNA from 1 species